rnacentral:rRNA from 1 species
GACGAACGCUGGCGGCGUGCUUAACACAUGCAAGUCGAACGGAAAGGCCCCUUUGGGGGUACUGACGUGGCGAACGGGUGAGUAACACGUGAGUAACCUGCCCUUGACUUCGGGAUAACUUCAGGAAACUGGGGCUAAUACCGGGUAGGAAUCCUUGCUGCCGGGUGGGGGUUGGAUAGCUUCGGCGGUUUUGGAUGGACUGGCGGCUGCUCAGCUUGUUGGUGGGGUAGUGGCUUUCCAAGGCUUUGACGGGUAGCCGGCCUGAGAGGGCGACCGGCCACAUUGGGACUGAGAUACGGCCCAGACUCCUACGGGAGGCAGCAGGGGGGAAUAUUGCACAAUGGGCGGAAGCCUGAUGCAGCAACGCCGCGCGCGGGAUGACGGCAUUCGGGUUGUAAACCGCUUUCAGCAGGGGCGAAGCUUGUGGUGACGGUACCUGCAGAAGAAGCACCGGCUAACUACGUG